UACGUAGGGGGCAAGCGUUGUCCGGAUUUAUUGGGCGUAAAGAGCGUGUAGGCGGCCAGGUAGGUCAGCUGUGAAAACUCGAGGCUCAACCUCGAGACGCCGGUUGAAACCAUCUGGCUAGAGUCCGGAAGAGGAGAGUGGAAUUCCUGGUGGUGAGCGGUGAAAUGCGCAGAGUAUCAGGAAGGAACACCCGUGGCGUAAGGC
rnacentral:rRNA from 1 species